GUUAGCGGUGUGUUCAGUAUUUGUGUGAGAUUAUUCGGAUAACAGUGUCGUCGGUGGUUUAGUUUACCGCACAUGGUUAAAAGCCAGUCCAAAUCAAAAUGUUUGAAACCCGACAAUUUAGCGUGUAGUAUGUCUUUAGCCAGGUGACAUUAUUUGUCGCAGCAAAUUUUUCGGAUGCCACCCAAAAGUGAGCAAGCACACACCCAUCUAGAGCUCAAUGAGUAAUGAACCCAUUUUGGAGCAUGUCUACAAACGCUGGUCGUAAGAGAUCUGAUGGUGAAGAGCAGAGUGGUUCAGGGGAGCAGAGAGCCAGUCCAGCUCGUCCUCCAUUUGGUAAGAAGCAACUUCCCUCCAUCCCGAAGAAUGCCGUCCCCAUCACUAAAGCCGCAUCACCAGCCUCUUCUACACAAUCUGCCAAUGGCACACAUGCCUCAUACGGCCCUUUCUACCUGGAGUACUCACUACUUGCUGAGUUCACAUUGGUUAUCAAGCAGAAGCUUCCUGGCAUCUAUGUACAGCCUUCAUACAGAUCAGCGCUGAUGUGGUUUGGUGUGAUUUUCAUUCGCCAUGGUUUGUACCAAGAUGGUGUGUUUAAGUUCACCGUCUACAUUCCUGAUAACUAUCCAGAUGGAGACUGUCCGAAGGUUGUUUUUGACACUCCAGUUUUCCACCCACUAGUGGACCCAGUUUCUGGUGAGCUUGACGUGAGGAGAGCUUUCACCAAAUGGAGACGAAACCACAAUCAUAUCUGGCAGGUGCUUAUGUACGCCCGCACAAUCUUCUAUAAGAUCAACACUAUGGAGCCACUCAACCCAGAGGCUGCUGUGCUGUAUGACAAAGACAUCCAGCUCUUCAAAAGUAAGGUGGUAGACAGUGUCAAGCUAUGCAAUAGUCACCUGUUUGAUCAGCCCAAGAUAGAUGAUCCUUAUGCAAUAAGCUUCUCCCCGUGGAAUCCAGCGGUGCAUGAAGAGGCGAAAGAGAAGAUGUUUGCACAUAAAGUGAGUGUGUGACGCUCCCCUGACUGCUCCCCACAACCAAGUAAAAACUGGCUUCUUCCUGGUAUCUGAUGCAUGCCUUGUUUUAAAGCAUGAGCUUGUGUGUGGAACACUGUUUCCUUUCCUGUUUCCAGUUCUCCUUCUGCUCUUCAUAACUCGGCGACCUGAGGAUUUUAACAAAGGCCUUCCGGUGUCUGGACUUUCCUGGGUGAAGCCUGGCUCCACUCAGCCUUUCAGCAAAGAGGACAACCCCCUUCAGACGUGAAAUUUCAGUGCUUCCGUCUGUCCACCAAAGGGGCGCUAUGCUACUGUGGCUGCACCGAACCACACAUAUAUCGAAGUCUGAUGCAGUUCUAUGAACUUCAUCUUCAUUCGCAAAACUCUCGCUCAGCUUUAAAGAAAACAAAUCAUUUUAAACUGGUAUAAUGGCUUAAGAACCAUAGUCCUGUACCUGGUAUAGCCCCGAAGACCCCAAUCGUUCAUUUCAAUGCUGAUGCUUGAACGCACAGAAGAUGGUUCUAGAAAGUACUGUUAAUUGCACAUGUUGAUGUUUUCAGGCACAACAAACCACCUCGCUUCUGUGUGUAGGUCAUGCUCUUCUAAAUGAUCUCUUUUUGGGUUUCUAACUAAUUGUUUUACAGAUUUAAUAUGGUUUCCAUUUGGUUUUCCUUUCUCUAAAAUCUUGCUUAAUAGUUGUAAUUUCAAACAAACAAUCAUAAACUGGGACAGAACACCUUGAUUUUGCAUAUUUAUAGCUUUGAGUAUUUUUUUUUUUGUAAUAACCUGUGUAUGAAAUGGUUUUAAAUGUAAAUUACAGAGCAAGACAUAUACUAUUCAUUAAGACACUAAGUUAAUCCUCAUUGUUUAGUAAUGUAAUUCACUUUUAUUGUCCUAAUGGUUUGAUCUAAAAGGGUUUGAUGUGUAAAUAGUGGAGCAGUUCGAUUAAAUCAGUGGCCUCUAUAGCAGAGUCCAAACAUCUCAUAUAUUUAUCUAGAAAUGUAUGAUUGUUUAAAUUUUAGACAUUUUGCUCUUUUACAAUACCCCCUUUUUUCUUUUUAAUGUUUAUUUUGGGCUGUCAGUGAGAAUACUGAUUUGAGCCCAGCUGUGUAAGUAAUGUAAUAUUAUUUUUUAAAUCUGUUAAACGCAAAUAAAUGCAUAAACGGUGAAACUGGUCUGAAAUGGUGUUUGCUGGCAGUAUCAUUUCCGUGAUUAAGACAUUUUCAAUAAAAGAGAUUAUUAAUGGUGAGAAUCUCAUGUGGGUAUGUGCGCGUGGAUGAAUCACACAUUUGUUG